CGAAUUCCAUCGUCGGAGUUGGUUGUUGUUACCAGCGUGUGACCGCGUACAAACUUCUCUACAGUGGUGACUGUGUGAGCUAUCUCACGAUCAGGGACUCCAGUGGGUCGGAUGUGAUAUUGGACGGGAACACGGAUCAGGAAACGGUUGUUACAUCGAUGUUGCCAAGUCCGGUAACCGCUCUCUGUGUCAGAAUCAACCCAGUCACGUGGUUUGGUGGCCAUAUCAGCCUGAGGUUCGAUAUUCUCGGAUGUUCCAUGAAUGAGCAGCAGCACGUGAAAUAAAGCACGGAAUAUGGUGUAUGCAUGCCCACCGUUUGUAGCUGUAAUAUGCCCGUUAUUACAAUGCAUGUUAUAAUAUAAUGUCGAAUAAUAUAAUGAUACAUGAAUUUACUUCUGUAUUUUGUUAAUUUAAGUGUUCGCUUUUUGAAUUAUUGCUUCGAGGAAAAAAAUAUGUUCAUUUUUUGUUCUUUUGUUUGCAUACGCUUUAUGAUUCAUUAUUUAUAUAUAAUAAAUAGUACAUGGUUAUAAAAUUGGAUGCCAUUUCCACAAUCGUCUGACUACUUCCAAACACUGAUAUGAAUGCCGAAGAGCUUGAACGCUUGGUGAUAUUUGACAUCGGGGAAAUUACUAGCUUGCAAUCCUGGUUAGCCAUUUAAUAAAUAGUACGAGUAAUUAAGUUCUGUAACUAUACGCCUUUUCGCAACAUUUUUGCUUAUUUUUGUUUGAACCUUCCGCGCAGGAAAACAGUCAAAGGAUAAAUUUUUAGAGUUAAUUCAACGUGUGAUUUAGUAUGAGAGUGAGAGUCCGCCUCUAACCUUUGAAGUUGUGAGUUGGAUUCCCACCAGGGUGAGAUUGCUCUAGUGGUAUGGAUGUUCGCCUCUUUCCCAAGAUGUUGCGAGUACGAUACACACCAGGGUGAAAUUGGUCAAGUGGUAUAGGUGUCUUUCACUCACCAAAGCUGUUACGAGUUCGAUCCCCACCAGGGUGGGAGUGCUCUAGUGGUAUUGUGUCUGUCACUCACCGAACGAGGUUGUGAGUUCGAUCCCCACCCGGGUGAGAGUGGCCUGGUGGUAUUUUGUGUCUGUCACUCACCGAACGAGGUUGUGAGUUCGAUCCCCACCCGGGUAAGAGUGAUCUGUUGGUAUUUUGUGUCUGUCACUCAUUGAACGAGGUUGUGAGUUCGAUCCCCACCAGGGUGAGAGUGAUCUGGUGGUAUUGUGUCUGUCACUCACCUAAAGAAGUUGUGGGUUCGAUUCCCACCAGGGUGGGAGUGCUCUGGUGGUAUUGUGUCUGUCACUCAUCGAAAGAGGUUGUGGGUUAAAUUCCCACCAGGGUGAGAGUGGUCUAGUGGUAUAGGUGUCUGUUACUCAGCCAAAGAGGUUGUGAGUUCGAUUCUCACCAGGGUGAGUGUGCUCUAGUGGUAUUUUGUGUCUGUCACUCACACAAAGAGGUUGUGAGAUCUAUUCCCACCAGGGUGAGAGUGGUCUAGUGGUAUAGGUGUCUGUCACUCACACAAAGAGGUUGUGAGAUCGAUUCCCACCAGGGUGAGAGUGGUCUAGUGGUAUAGGUGUCUGUUACUCACCCAAAGAGGUUGUGAGUUAGAGUUGCACGGGUCAGAGUGGUUUUGUAGUAUGCGUCAACGCUCUCACCAAAGAGGUUGUGGUUUUCACCUCCACCAAUAUUGUCUGCAAGGCCUCUCAAAACGGACACUAGGUCUUCUACCCAGGGAAUGGACACACACUUUAUUCAUAUAUGAGUUUAUAUGUUUUCUUAACAUAGCUUAUAACUAAUACUAAAGUUAAAAUAUUACGUACAUGCAUUUUAAGUUUCUAAUGUCAAUAUUUAUAAUCGUAUGUAGGGGUAACAAGUCGCGUGGCCGGCUGGUCGAGCGGGCUUAUGCUUUUCUGGCAAAGUCUUUUGAGUUUAUCAUUUUUAUCUGACCACUGUCAAACUCAUCUUCAUGUUAUGUGCCCUACAUUGAGGCUGUUAUUUAAAUAAAUAUAAAUUUACCAAAAGUCAUUUAAAAACAUCCAGUAUAAAUGCAUCGUGCUAGGGUAACCAUCACUUCUGUUGAUUUACGUAGGAGAAAUACUCAAAAAGACAUUAUUGAUCAUGUUUGAACCUGUAAUCUAUUAUGUUUGUAUAUGAUAUAUAUAGUCGAAAUACUACUGUUUCCCUCCUAAAUUUUAUCGAAGUUUCAAAUGAUUUGUACCACACUCAGAAACUCUUAAGCUUUACGAAAUCGUUACAGAAUUUAUAUGCAUAUAUUUUGUAUCAAAGGUGUCGUCAUGCUUGUAUGCCGAAUAAAAUGUUGCUUUUUA